UACCAGCACCCCGAGUGGUCGGGACGAUUAUUGGGCCUAAAGCAUCCGUAGCCGGUUUUACAAGUCCUCCGUUAAAUCCAGCUGCUUAACAGAUGGGCUGCGGAGGAUACUAUAAGACUAGGAGGCAGGAGAGGCAAGCGGUACUCAGUGGGUAGGGGUAAAAUCCGUUGAUCCAUUGAAGACCACCAAUGGCGAAGGCGGCUUGCCAGAAUGCACUCGACGGUGAGGGAUGAAAGCUGGGGGAGCAAACCGG
rnacentral:rRNA from 1 species